UUUUUAAAUGAUGUUUUUUGUUAGAUAGAGCCCCACAGAGAGAAAAGUUUAUUCUGGUUACGAUGGAGCAGAAGAAUUCACCCCGACAAAUUAACCCCAGAGGAUAAUUUAGAUGACACGACGCACCAGGGAGAGAGUCUCCUUUAUGAGGUUAAUAACGCAGAGCUGAUGUGUUAUAACCGACAGAGGUCUAUCGAACCGUCAACAGAGCGCCGCAGGGAGGGACUCGCGUUACACGUUUGUGGCGAGGUGAGACCAUCGCUCCUACACGAUGCCCGGAGGUUCGAGGAUAUUUUGGACUGGUAUUAAUAAAUGUUUUUGAGAGAGAAUAAUUGCGAUGCAUAAAAAGUUUAUUCUGGUUUAACGAGAA